rnacentral:rRNA from 1 species
AUUGAACGCUGGCGGCAGGCUUAACACAUGCAAGUCGAGCGGGGUGAUGGUGCUUGCACUAUCACUUAGCGGCGGACGGGUGAGUAAUGCUUAGGAAUCUGCCUAUUAGUGGGGGACAACAUCUCGAAAGGGAUGCUAAUACCGCAUACGUCCUACGGGAGAAAGCAGGGGAUCACUUGUGACCUUGCGCUAAUAGAUGAGCCUAAGUCGGAUUAGCUAGUUGGUGGGGGAAAGGCCUACCAAGGCGACGAUCUGUAGCGGGUCUGAGAGGAUGAUCCGCCACACUGGGACUGAGACACGGCCCAGACUCCUACGGGAGGCAGCAGUGGGGAAUAUUGGACAAUGGGGGGAACCCUGAUCCAGCCAUGCCGCGUGUGUGAAGAAGGUCUUCGGAUUGUAAAGCACUUUAAGUUGGGAGGAAGGUCUGUAAGCUAAUAUCUUGCAGUCUUGACGUUACCAACAGAAUAAGCACCGGCUAACUCUGUGCCAGCAGCCGCAGUAA